GGGGACGUUUAGGAUUCGACAGGUGUAGUUUGAGCUAAGAUUGCGCUUCGUAGGUUACGACUACGUUAAAACGUUAACAGUUAAUAUAACUGCAAAAAACAAUAACAACUCUUACGCUUUAGCUGCCUAAACAGUAGCUGCGUAGAUCCGCCUAGUAUCGCCCAUGUGCUGGAUACGGGUCUCAAAUUAAGUGGGCUACGGUAAAGACUUCCACCUGGAGUUUUUGCAAGAGAUCAUCAGGUUAGCCUAAUGCUGGUUGCCGUGUUGUCUGGCGUUUGUGUUAGGUGAAUUUCGAAAUAGGAUGACUAUGAGCGUAGAUAUCUUAGAGGCAAUAUGCUUGGACGCGGGUUCGACUCCCGCCGCCUCCAUAA
rfam:Lactobacillus coryniformis subsp. coryniformis CECT 5711 COR000056, whole genome shotgun sequence.